GCCAGACUCCUACGGGAGGCAGCAGUGGGGGAUAUUGCACAAUGGGGGAAACCCUGAUGCAGCGACGCCGCGUGGGCGAAGAAGUAUUUCGGUAUGUAAAGCCCUAUCAGCAGGGAAGAAGAAAUGACGGUACCUGAGUAAGAAGCACCGGCUAAAUACGUGCCAGCAGCCGCGGUAAUACGUAUGGUGCAAGCGUUAUCCGGAUUUACUGGGUGUAAAGGGGGCGCAGACGGCAGCGCAAGCCAGGAGUGAAAGCCCGGGGCCCAACCCCGGGACUGCUCUUGGAACUGCGCGGCUGGAGUGCAGGAGGGGCAGGCGGAAUUCCUGGUGUAGCGGUGAAAUGCGUAGAUAUCAGGAGGAACACCGGUGGCGAAGGCGGCCUGCUGGACUGCGACUGACGUUGAGGCCCGAAAGCGUGGGGAGCAAACAGGAUUAGAUACCCUGGUA
rnacentral:rRNA from 1 species